rnacentral:rRNA from 1 species
AGCAUAUCAAUAAGCGGAGGAAAAGAAACCAACAGGGAUUACCUCAGUAACGGCGAGUGAAGCGGUAACAGCUCAAAUUUGAAAGCUAGCUCUUCUAGGGUUCGCAUUGUAAUUUGUAGAAGAUGCUUCGGGUGUGGCCCCGGUCUAAGUUCCUUGGAACAGGACGUCAUAGAGGGUGAGAAUCCCGUAUGUGACUGGGUGCUUUCGCUCAUGUGUAGCUCUUUCGACGAGUCGAGUUGUUUGGGAAUGCAGCUCAAAAUGGGUGGUAAAUUUCAUCUAAAGCUAAAUAUUGGCCAGAGACCGAUAGCGCACAAGUAGAGUGAUCGAAAGAUGAAAAGCACUUUGGAAAGAGAGUUAAACAGUACGUGAAAUUGUUGAAAGGGAAGCGCUUGCAACCAGACUUGCGCGCUGAUGAUCAUCCGGGCUUCUGCCCGGUGCACUCGUCUGCGCUCAGGCCAGCAUCGGUUUCGGUGGUGGGAUAAAGGCCUUGGGAAUGUAGCUCCUCUCGGGGAGUGUUAUAGCCCUCGGUGCAAUGCCGCCUACCGGGACCGAGGACCGCGCUUCGGCUAGGAUGCUGGCGUAAUGGUUGUAAGCGACCCGU